rnacentral:sRNA from 1 species
AAUUUAGGAAGUUAGCCUAAGGUCGUAGCAUCCAUGCGACAACGGCUAACAGACCUACAUCGUGUAGG